UACGUAGGGGGCAAGCGUUGUUCGGAAUUACUGGGCGUAAAGGGCGCGUAGGCGGCCUGCUAAGUCGAACGUGAAAUCCCUGGGCUCAACCCAGGAACUGCGUCCGAUACUGGUUGGCUUGAAUCCGGGAGAGGGAUGUGGAAUUCCAGGUGUAGCGGUGAAAUGCGUAGAUAUCUGGAGGAACACCGGUGGCGAAGGCGACAUCCUGGACCGGCAUUGACGCUGAGGCGCGAAAGCCAGGGGAGCAAACAGG
rnacentral:rRNA from 1 species